rnacentral:lncRNA from 1 species
UUUUGUGCAGAGGAACCCCAAUCUUGGCGUUGAGAUCACCAGAGCUUUUCUAAGAGAGAUCAAAGCUCAAUCCAAAGACAGCAGAUCUGCUUCUUGUAAUCAUCGCCCUCACUCUCGCAUCUACUGAUUGAUGAACAAUAAACAGCAGCUUGCCUAAUGCCUCGCUUGCCAAAGGUGAUGAUGAAUGAUGAUGCCUUCUUACUUUGUUUUAUGGAUUUAUUUCAAGGUGUUGGUUGAUACAUAUACAAUAUCUA